CAAACAAAAAUAAAAUGCUUACCAGCUCUGCAAAGUCAGCUGCUUCCAGAUCACUCAGUGCUGUGUCAAUUUCCAUCUGAAAUAGUAAAAAAAUACUUUUUAAUAGAGAUUUCCAACACAUUAAUUUCCAGUAGUAGCACAUCUUGCUCUGUGUCUUGCUCGUCUCAGAUUAGGAUUCAUGAGUACAAAGUGAGCAGAUAAAAGUUUUCACCUAUAUUUUAUUAGUAACAUGAAGUAUCAAGAACACCUAGAGAUGCAAGAAUUAAGAAAAAUCCUUUCUAAUUGCUGUCUAUUUCCCUGCUCUUUGAAGUGUACAAUUUCUCCGCUUGUGUGCCUGCUGACCCCAGUGUCUGGUGUAAAGGAAAUGUCACUCUUACUUUCAGUGUGCUUUAAAACACGAGGUCUAGAGACAAACCUGGCACACUACUGCAUCCAGCUAAGUUUUCAGAAAAAUCUUUUUUCCAAUGGAUUUCAGCUUUUUGUCUCUAUGGAAGUCGCCAAAACUCUCUCACACAUUCUUUUUGUUCUACUGAAACUGCUUUAAACUUCCUUAUUUCUGUAACUGCAAGAGCUGUUGGUUAAAUCAAAUUUUACCAAGAGUACUUUCAUUGGUCCUAGGCACUGAAACUCAUGACAUAAAUGUGCUACUUAAUGAAAAGAACCUAAAUCACAUAAUUACAAACUUCUUGGGCUGUGUUAACAGGCUGCCUCUAAUUGAAAUACAGCCAGUUUUCAAACAGAGAAAUGUCAGCAAGUCUGCUGUUGGCACUUGACAACUAACUAACCUCUUAGCUUUUUCCCAGUCAAAAUUUAAAUGGCUUUCUGCCUGAAGAACUGACAUUUUUAGUUUUGUAUUCCUUACAAAAUAAAAAGAUCUUCACCGAACACUAACUGGAAAUGUCAUCUUCUGCAACAACAACACUUUUCUGGCAAAUAGGAACGAUCUCAAAGAACUCUGGAAAGUGAUGUCUAUAUUUGAGCAUCAAUGAACAAUGAGUGACUGAAGAGAAAAUACUUCUGAAAGAACUCACCUGUCCAAAGAACUGUACAUGAAUGUCAAGGUCCUGACAACAUCUUGAAUCAUGUUCCUCAGAUGAGUGCCAAAAGCUCACAACUGGAAUACUUAUUUACAAGUUCCAGUUGCCACAGUUUACACGGAUGUGAUCUGCAUACCGUGCCUCCUCUGGAUAUGGUUACAGCAACUCCGUAUUUGGUCAAAGAUGGACAAGAGAAGGUUUUUGGUCCAUGGAGCUCUGCCAGUACUUGACCACAACUCCAGUAGCUCAGGCAAACUUCAGGCUGUCAGAGAUCUUGGAAAGCUGCCUGAACUGACAUCCCCAGUACUCAACCUCACUGCAGAUCUAUUUCCACAGGAACUUGAAGUACCAUAAGUUGCGAACAGAACUUCUGUGUUCAAGAAAACAUAAAAUUUCCACUUUCAAAAAUCUCUGGACUGUAAAAUACUUCUAUUGUUAUCAUCACCUUGUACAUUCUACCCAAACAAACACUACCAAGAGACUAAUUUUUAACUGCUCAUUCGUCUAAGUUUCAACUUUCAUUUUGUCUUCAUGUCCAUCAGGAAGAGGAUUUAAGCAGAAUAACUCAAAAUAUUUUAUUUUAGGCUAGUAACAUCCUAGGUAAGUAACACUCUCCUGACUUAGCUCUGAAAUAGCUAUCUAAUUCUUCAUUACUUAUUUAAUUCUUCAUUAGAGCUCCAAAAUUGUUUAGCUAGAAGAAAAAAAUAUAUGCAGUAGGUUUUGAGGAAAGAAACAUCAUUCAUCAGGUCAGGUAUUUUGGAACAUUUUUUUUGGUAUCAAUUUUUAUUACUGACUUCCAUAAGUUUCAUCACUGUUGAGUUUUGAAAGAUCUUAAAAGUAUUCAAUCUAACAUCUCUUAGAACCCAAGCAUUAAUUUUUGUAUUUAAAUAUUAAACCAGUAUAAAUUUCACCAUUUAAAUGCUCUUAAAUAUUUUUAAUAGCACUCCUUGUUAAUUCAGACUUGUUUUUACUCUCUUGUGGUUUGUGAGUCUUGUUUAUAUUGAUGAAGAUAUAAUUAUUCUAUUUAAGUACUUUCAGAGCAAUUAUUACCAUUUUAAAUACAGUAGUUGGUAAAAAAAAUCCACUACUAUUCUGCUGACAUAUUUAUUUUUAAACUAGACAUCAGCACCUACCUAUUUUCAUAGGGUUUUUCUGAUUUGGAUUUUUAUCAGAAUUAAACUCUGAAAUUUCUACUCUGAAGUCAACCAACACAUUCAAAAGAUAAAAGAGGAAGUUUUAAGAAAAACACCACAUAAAUUUUGUUUCCUCAGGAAAAAAAGGCUAGAAGCAGUACUAACUUUUACAGAGAAUUUUUGGAAUAAAUGUUCAACUGUACUGUAUACUGUACCUGCAUAGGACCUGGAAUGCAAGACAAAACUCUCUCUAUGUUUUCAGAAUUCACAUCGACAUCAUUUACAGCAACAAGAACAUCUCCUGCAGUAGAACAGACAGGAAAUGAGAAAUCCAGUUGGUACUGCAUCACAAUAGAGUAAAACAGUGUCUUAUUUAAAAAAGUAAUAUGCCAUUGAAGCUGUCAUAAAUUCCAUUUGUUGCAUUUAAGUAGAUGUUUGCUAUAUGCAACAUUUACCACUUUUAGUCUAUUACCUCGGUCUCACUAAUGGCAUCUUGUGUUUUUUACCUCUGACACCCUUACCAUCUCUGGAAAUGAGGAAAAAAAGCCCCUAAGGGUCCCAAAGACAAAGUCAUUAACUGCAAGAGGAAAAGGUUUGAAAAAUUAAAGGCACCAGCUGCAAAAGUAAACAGAACCGACUUAUAGCUUAAAAACUUAAAAUCCACAUUUAAAGUACAAAAAUCAAACUGGGAUUUCUAUAUGAAGGGAAAGAAAAUAUUCUCAAGAAGUAUUCCAGUGGUCCUAAGGUCAUUCUUACAUGUGAACUAAGAAUACCAAGAACUGAACAACCAAAUGGAAAACCAAGCUUCAUUUUGCUUGAGCUGCACAAAGACUCCCCUAGAAAGUGCCUCCACAUCCUCUCCAAGAUCAUUAACGUAGUGUUCAUCACUCAGGCUGUGGAAGGGAUUAGAAAAAGGAUAUGGAUUUGCAGCAAAAGUGCAUGUUUAGCAUAGCUAUAUUUGAAGCCUUGACUUGGCAACACAGAUGUCAUCAACUGCAGAAAUAAAGCACUGAACCACUGUAAGGUUGUAUGUCAGUUUUCCAGGGAGAAGUUUGCUCAGCUCAAACUGACAGUGCUAAUGACAUGCACAUUAUGGAAAAGCACAGCCUGAGUCUCUCAGGUCUCUCCAUUCCCUGAGAGUCUAUUCAAGGCCACAGAAUGUUCAAGUUCAGGAGACUGAGUUACCAUUAUUUCUAUGUCUACCUUGUUUUAAAUAUCUUCAAAUUGCAACUUCCCAGGUA